rnacentral:rRNA from 1 species
GACGAACGCUGGCGGCGUGCUUAACACAUGCAAGUCGAACGGAAAGGCCCUGCUUUUGUGGGGUGCUCGAGUGGCGAACGGGUGAGUAACACGUGAGUAACCUGCCCUUGACUUUGGGAUAACUUCAGGAAACUGGGGCUAAUACCGGAUAGGAGCUCCUGCUGCAUGGUGGGGGUUGGAAAGCUUCGGCGGUUGGGGAUGGACUCGCGGCUUAUCAGCUUGUUGGCGGGGUAGUGGCUUACCAAGGCUUUGACGGGUAGCCGGCCUGAGAGGGUGAUCAGCGACAAUGGGACUGAGAUACGGCCCAGCCUCCUAGGGGAGGCAGCAGUGGGGAAUAUUGCACAGUGGGCGGAAGCCUGAUGCAGCAGCGCCGCGUGCGGGAUGACGGCCUUGGGGUUGUAAACCGCAUUAACCUGUGACGAAGCGUGCGUGACGGUAAUGGGUAAAGAAGCACCGGCUAACUACGUG